rnacentral:misc_RNA from 1 species
GUUUUCUGAUGUUUAAACUUCCACCCCCACCCAUACACACACCCUUGGAAAUUUUGGGAAAUUUGAUUUAAUUUGUAAACUGAUGUGCUCACAGUCAAAACAGGUAGGUGACUUUUGUUGUUUCCUGUUUGUUUUUCAAAUUCGAUUUCUGGAUUCGCUUGUCCAUCUGUUGUUCCCUAAAAUUGUUUCAAUUCAAUGUCUAAAUUGCUUGUUUAAGGCAGCAAAAUCUCAUGAGAUCAAGUUAUAAGCUUCAAUACUCUAUGCUUGUUCCU